rnacentral:rRNA from 1 species
CAAUAGCGUAUAUUAAAGCUGUUGCGGUUAAAAAGCUCGUAGUUGGAUUUCUGUCGAGGACAACUGGUCCGCCCUUCGGGUGAGCACAUAGUUUGGUCUUGGCAUCUUGUUGGAAACUGUUGCUGCACUUGGUUGUGUGGCGCAGCGUCCAGCACUUUCACUUUGAGGAAAUUGGAGUGUUUCAAGCAGGCACAUGCCUUUGGACACAGUAGCAUGGAAUAAUUAGAUUGGGCUUUUGCUCCAACUUGUCGGUUUCUGGAGCUGAGGUGAGAAUUAAUGGGGAUUGUUGGGGGCAUCCGAAUUUAGCCGUCAGAGGUGAAAUUCUUGGAUCUGCUAAAGACGGACAACUGCGAAAGCGUUUGCCCAGGAUGUUUUCAUUGA